UACGUAGGUGACAAGCGUUGUCCGGAUUUACUGGGCGUAAAGAGCGCGCAGGCGGUCGUUCAAGUCGAGUGUGAAAGCCCCCGGCUCAACUGGGGAGGGUCAUUCGAUACUGAUCGACUCGAAGGCAGGAGAGGGAAGUGGAAUUCCCGGUGUAGUGGUGAAAUGCGUAGAUAUCGGGAGGAACACCAGUGGCGAAGGCGGACUCUC
rnacentral:rRNA from 1 species